UGCGGUACUGAUAUUGUUGAGUGGUAUAAGCUGUAUAAAGCAGGGAUAGGUGGGCGUCUAAGGAUGAGUCUUCGGCGGACCAGUAGAGCUGAUCGUUUUUGUGACUAUUUUGUUAUGUAGCUACUUGGGAUAGUAGCAUUGAUUGGACUUUGUGUUGUACACUCUAACUCUAGUCGGAUAGAGACUUUGUAUAUAUUUAUAUUCUAGAUCCUAUACUUAUAUACUUGUCCUUUCUGUCUGGC